GCACACACACACACACAAAUCCAGGGGUAUCCCACUUCACAGAGUAGAGAGGCGGGACCACACUUCAAAUUCAGAGGACUGAGUGAAUCACGUGCUGCUGACUCAUCAAACCCCACCCUCUUCUCUGACUAUAAGACUGAACAGACUGGUAAAUUUAGACUCUCUCCACCUAUAGUGCUCUUUUAGUUAUUUUCAGACUCUUUCUAUGGCACGCAAACACUGAUGACACAGGCCUCAAACAUUUGAGGAGCUGGAUUUUCCAUACCUUUGUUCAGUCAACAAUAAGACACAACAAGAACUUUAUAGACUGACUGCUGCACUCCUGGUGAGUGAAAUCCUGGACAUUGUGUGCUGGAACCAGUGCUCGGGGCAGUGUUCAUACACAUUCCCCUUGGCAAUGCCCACGACUGUUGCGCCCUAUGCUGCCAGAAUAAACAUCAUAGUGAUUGAGACUUUCUCUUUCUGUCCUAGUUUCGUUCUCCGCCCUCAACUUUCAGUUCUUUUUUAUUUCUACAUCUAGUUUUACACUCUCCUACACA